GUGCCCUUUUAAGAUUAAUUCAGUGCUUUAAUUGGUUAGCACAGAAGGGCAAAAGAAGUCUCCAUAAAAUCCAGGCAGUAGGCUGUAAAAUCCUCUUUCAAUCCUAUCUAGAAUUGCAGCU
rnacentral:snoRNA from 1 species